ACCCACAAACCCUAGCCGCCGCUCCUUUCCGACCGUCGUUCCUUCACCCUUUCUCACCCCUUCGAGACACCACCCUCCCUCGGCCUCUCUCAUCUUCUCUCCCUCGCCAUUCCCACGACACAGCCCCAUACCUACCCUUUCCCCCUUUUCCCCUAUUCCUUUUUCCCCCCAUUCGAACCACCCACCAGUAGCGCCCACACCCCACAACCAAGCCACCCCUUUUAUUUUAUUUUAUUUAUUUAUUAUUUAUAUUAUUUUUUUUACUAAUUUUUUAUUUUAUUAUUCUUAUACUUAGAUUUUAAAUCUAUUUUAACUUUUCUACUAUUUCUAUUAUUUUUAGUAUUUUUUUACUAUUAUUAUUACAACUACCUUUAAGUUUAUUGGUAUCAUUGAGUUUAUUAUUAUUUUAUUUUUUAUUUUAUUUAUCUUUCUUUUUAAUUUUGUUUUAGU
rnacentral:lncRNA from 1 species